GCGGAAGUAGCUCAGUGGUAGAGCGCCUCCUUGCCAAGGAGGAGGUCGCGAGUUCGACCCUCGUCUUCCGCUCCA
rnacentral:tRNA from 5 species